UACGUAGGGUGCAAGCGUUAUCCGGAAUUAUUGGGCGUAAAGAGCUCGUAGGCGGUUUGUCGCGUCUGCUGUGAAAACCCGAGGCUCAACCUCGGGCCUGCAGUGGGUACGGGCAGACUAGAGUGCGGUAGGGGAGAUUGGAAUUCCUGGUGUAGCGGUGGAAUGCGCAGAUAUCAGGAGGAACACCGGUGGCGAAGGCGGUUCUCUGGGCCUUACCUGACGCUGAGGAGCGAAAGCAUGGGGAGCAAACAGG
rnacentral:rRNA from 1 species